CGGGAGGGGAGGGACCAAACUGAGGGCCAGGGUUGGGCUGUUGAGAGCUCGGGCGGAGGGGAGGAAAAGAGCAGGGCUGGGAGUGAGCGGCACAGUAUAGGCAGCGUCACCCUUUUACGGGGACUCUCUCUCUAUCGCUGUAGCGACCAGAGAGGCCAGAGGACCCCUUAAAAAUCCGCUCUGAUAAGCCCCGGGGACGACCUCCUUCGCGCCUUCGGAUUGGGCCCACGAACCAGCCUGGGCUUUCCCAUUGGGGGCUGGCGCCCCGAGCUCAGCGCACAGCUUGCCGGGAGUUGUAGGACCAGGCGUCGUUUUAGUGCCGAAGGCUUCCGACGUGACGGCCGACGUUUCUGCUCAGCCGGCUGUCCGUACCGGGAGUCUCCUCGUUCGGCCCUGUGGGGGCUUGGCCACACCUGGGAUCCGGGACCCGUAACUCCUCAAUUUCCAGAAAUGGUGUACUUGAGGCUGGACAAGAAUGAACAUAUAAACUGGUCUCAGAAGACAUUUUGGAU